rnacentral:rRNA from 1 species
UACGAGGGGGGCAAGCGUUGUUCGGAUUUAUUGGGCGUAAAGGGUGCGUAGGCGGUCUGGAAAGUUGGGUGUGAAAUCCCUCGGCUCAACCGAGGAACUGCGCUUGAAACUACCAGACUCGAGGGAGAUAGAGGAAAGCGGAACUGAUGGUGGAGCGGUGAAAUGCGUUGAUAUCAUCAGGAACACCGGUGGCGAAGGCGGCUUUCUGGGUCUUACCUGACGCUGAGGAACGAAAGCCAGGGGAGCGAACGGG